AACCGAGAACUCCUACGGGAGGCAGCAGUGGGGAAUUUUGGCAAAGGGGGCAACCCUGAUCCAGCAAUGCCCCGUGAGUGAAAGAAGCCUUCGGGUUGUAAAGCUUUUUUGUCAGGGAAGAAACGGUAGUAACUUAUAUCUAUUACUAAUUACGGUACCUGAAGGAUAAGCACCGGCUAACUACGUGCCAGCAGCCGCGGUAAUACGUAGGGUGCAAGCGUUAAUCGGAAUUACUGGGCGUAAAGCGUGCGCAGGCGGUUGUGUAAGUCAGAUGUGAAAUCCCCGGGCUCUACCUGGGAAUUGCAUUUGAGACUGCACGGCUAGAGUGUGUCAGAGGGGGGUAGAAUUCCACGUGUAGCAGUGAAAUGCGUAGAUAUGUGGAGGAAUACCGAUGGCGAAGGCAGCCCCCUGGGAUAACACUGACGCUCAUGCACGAAAGCGUGGGGAGCAAACAGGAUUAGAUACCCUAGUAGUCCGACUGAGA
rnacentral:rRNA from 1 species